rnacentral:tRNA from 1 species
GCGGGGGUAGCCAAGCGGUCUAAGGCGAUAGGCUCAAGACCUAUUGGCUUAGUGCCUUCGAGGGUUCGAAUCCCUCCCCCCGCA